rnacentral:lncRNA from 1 species
UUUGGGGUCUGGGAACCAGAGCUCUAAAUGAACCGCAUUUGUUUUCUGAGCCCCGACUGGCUUGAAGUAUCCCCCUCUUCCCAAUCUUUACCUUCAGCCCACUGCUCAGUGUUAACAUGGAGAGAAAGGGAUGUUUAAGAUGUCAUUUUCCCCUCAGCGCAAAUGCCCUUUUAAGAUUCAUUAGCUGUCUGGUUUUGAGAAUUUUUAUGCCUUUGAAGUCCCCAUCUAAAUCCUUUGAAGGGAUUUGUUACACAGACCAAAGGAGCUGGUUAAUGACUUGUCCAUUUGUGCUUUUAAGAGGCAAUAUAAACAUCACUAUUCAAUCUUGAAGGUUCAGAAGCCAGAUCUACA